GACAGAGGUGGCAAGCGUUGUUCGGAUUUACUGGGCUUAAAGGGCGUGUAGGCGUCCUAGUAAGUCAGAUGUGGAAGCCUUGGGCUCAACCCAAGAAUUGCAUUUGAAACUAUUAGGAUUGAGUCGUGCAAGGGAGGGCGGAAUUCCUGGUGUAGCGGUGAAAUGCGUAGAUAUCAGGAGGAAGGCCGGUGGCGAAGGUGGCCCUCUGGGCAAUGACUGACGCUGAGGCGCGAAAGCGUGGGUAGCAAACAGG
rnacentral:rRNA from 1 species